rnacentral:rRNA from 1 species
AUGCGUGAGCUUUCUUUAUCGAAACGGAAGAAAAGGAAAUGGAACAGCGGUUCACCUAUUUCAACUGCAAGGUUAGUUUUCGUAGUUCACUGUGAAAUUUUUCCUCCAUCUUCUCCACCCAAUCUUAUCCCCUUCUCUGAUCCUGCUGUAAGCAUGUAUCUGCCUUCCCUCCACUUGUUCAUCACCAUGCUCCUGAUUCCUUGGCCCUUCAGUUCAGUGCGUCUCUGCACACCUGACAGCAUGCUUGUCCCUGGCAUGGGUCUCACUCCUGGAAAAACUCUCAUCUCGGAACAAGGUUCGUUUGCCUUGGGCUUCUUUUCCCCCUCAAAUUCAACUGAAAAUAUGUAUGUUGGCAUAUGGUUCAACGAUAUCCCAUUGCGCACCGUUGUCUGGGUUGCCAACCGCGGUAAUCCGAUCACUGAUGCUUCAUCCGCGGUGCUUAGUAUGACCGACAACUCUAGCCUUGUGUUGUCCGAAACCAAUGGCCACCACAUACUUUGGAUGACAAACACAAUCACUGGCAGCAACUCUUCGGCCAAGCUUCUCAACAAUGGCAAUCUUGUAGUCUUAUCACCAGAUGGUGCCAUGUUAUGGCAGAGCUUUGAAAACCCAAGUGACACCGUCCUUCCUGGCAUGCCUAUGCGGACGACCCACAAGACACACCCAACAUGGCGGAUGAUCUCUUGGAAGGGUCCUGAAGACCCUUCAAAAGGCAGGUUCUCUGGUGGGAAUGACCUUGACAGUCCCCUACAGUUCUUCGUCUGGGAUGGGUCAGUGCCAUACUUCCGUGCCACUGUGUGGAACGGCUAUGUAUCCUCCAACGUGGGUCUCCAGACCGUUAGUCCACUCAUGUAUUUGACAGUUUAG